rnacentral:sRNA from 1 species
AAGGUUCGAUUCGAGCGCAGCGAGAACGCGUUGCCGCAGGCAACGACCCGAAGGGCGAAGCGCGCAGCGCUGAGUCAUCCUUCCCCCACCACCA